GAAGUGAAAACACAAACAAGUGAGGAAAAGGAAGUGCAAAGAAACGAAUGUGAGAAAGAAGAUAAUGAAGUUAUGUUGCUUGGGGGUGACACUGGCGAGAGCACGGAGGGGACACUGCUUGAGUUUACUGUCGGGGACAUUGAUUUGGAUGAACCUACAGCUGUGCUAUCUCAGUUGAACGUGUGGUUGAAUGAUAAAGGUAAAGCUCUGGCACAAGGGGUCCAAUUACGGAAAAGAAAGAGGAUCAUUCCUUUGUGGAAGAUCGUUGAAGGCAGUGAAUUGGUUCCAAAAACUGGGGCACAGACAACCGGACUGAAGAUGUUAGACCCAAUGAAGGCGAUUCCGCAUGAUGAUCUGGUGAAAUUGCUGAAACUUUGUUGGGAAUGGCGCCAGGACCCAAAUUUGGUGAUGCAAUUUGGCAACGUGGAAGCUGAGAUUGAAUUCUUCGCUUCCCUCGUGAAAGCUGAUGGUUGGCUGAAAGGAGAUCACAUUGAUUUGGGGUUGUAUCUCAUCCGGAAGCGACAACAACAAUUGGGACAGAUUCGGUAGAAGUAGCGGACUGGACAACGACCGAUGUUUUUUUUAUGGUAUGUCAUCGGCCUUCACCAAGUGCCGUUAAUAAUUACACAUUUUCCAUACACACACUAGUGGAGGUGUUUAAGCAUUGAUUGUUUUGUAUUUCACAGAAUCACAUUCGUACUUGCUUUGCGGAUAAUAAAAGAAAAAAACAGCAGCUUGGGUGGAAAAUCAGAAAAAGUUUACUAAACGUUGUAAAUGGGAAGGUUCCUCCGUGUGGGUUGGAUUGGCAGACCGUCUAUAAGGUGUAUACCCCAUUUAUGUUGACGAAGUACAAGCAUUGGGUGGCUGUAAUGAUUGAUCUGGUAUUGUGUGAAAUCAAAGUGUACGAUUCAAAGGUUUCACUAAUUCCAGAUGACAUCGUAAAGGAAGAACUCGGCCCGCUAUCAAUUACGCUUCCAAAUCUUCUCAACACCAUCGACUUUUAUGAAGAAGGUGUUUAUGCAAACAAUUGCAGCCGAGAUUGGUGGUGUCCGUGGCCAAUAGAGCGUGUGGAUGUUCCACAACAGUCUAAUGAAGGCGAUUGUGGCAUGUUUGUGUUAAAGUACAUUGAGCUUUUCAGCGCUAAGCUUCCGUUAGCUACUUGCACCUCGCACAACAUGCCUUUUUUUCGGUUGAAAUUGGCUGCGGAGAUAACAAGGGGAGAUGCUUACUUCCCAUGAUAUUGGUUGAAGAUGACAAAUGGUACAUGAGAAGGUUUUGGGAAUGUCCAUUCUCAAACUAAUGUAAAUACACAAUAGAGACGUACGGGUCCUUAUCGAAUUCUACCGCUAACUCCUUCAUGACAUUUACAUGUUUGUUAACCAAACUGCAUUGAAUUGGAAUUUUAAGACUGCAUAUGUAAAUUGGGAUUUGAAGAUGGCUUUUUAAGUGUAUUACAUCAUUGCAAAGUGAUAUGUCAUUGUUGAUGCAAGCCAUCAUUAAUCGCAAUGUGUUGCAUCAUAAUAGGUGUCUAAACAUGCGAAAGGUUUUCCGCAGCUCAGUAGCAUAAAAGUAGAAACAAAGACAAUAUACACAAAAUGAACAACAAUUCACAAACGCACCGACAAGCAAGACACACACAACAGACAAACAAUAUACACAAACUUGGCCUGCCAUAUACAGAGAAUAGAUAUGCAAUAUACACACAGUAGACAUGCAAUAUACACACAAUAGACAUGCAAUAUACACACAAUACUCC